CAGUCGCCACGGGAAUACGGAGGGUGCAAGCGUUAAUCGGAAUUACUGGGCGUAAAGCGCACGCAGGCGGUCUGACAAGUCAGAUGUGAAAUCCCCGGGCUUAACCUGGGAACUGCAUUUGAAACUGUCAGGCUGGAGUCUUGUAGAGGGGGGUGGAAUUCCAGGUGUAGCGGUGAAAUGCGUAGAGAUCUGGAGGAAUACCGGUGGCGAAGGCGGCCCCCUGGACAAAGACUGACGCUCAGGUGCGAAAGCGUGGGGAGCAAACAGGAUUAGAUACCCGAGUAGUCCCUGUCUCUUAUAA
rnacentral:rRNA from 1 species